AUUGAACGCUGGCGGCAGGCCUAACACAUGCAAGUCGAGCGGAUGACGGGAGCUUGCUCCUUGAUUCAGCGGCGGACGGGUGAGUAAUGCCUAGGAAUCUGCCUGGUAGUGGGGGACAACGUUUCGAAAGGAACGCUAAUACCGCAUACGUCCUACGGGAGAAAGCAGGGGACCUUCGGGCCUUGCGCUAUCAGAUGAGCCUAGGUCGGAUUAGCUAGUUGGUGGGGUAAUGGCUCACCAAGGCGACGAUCCGUAACUGGUCUGAGAGGAUGAGCAGUCACACUGGGACUGCGACACGGUGAAGACUCCUCCGGGAGGCGGCAGUGGGGAAUAUGGGACAAUGGGCGAAAGCCUGAUCCAGCCAUGCCGCGUGUGUGAAGAAGGUCUUCGGAUUGUAAAGCACUUUAAGUUGGGAGGAAGGGCAGUAAGUUAAUACCUUGCUGUUUUGACGUUACCGACAGAAUAAGCACCGGCUAACUCGGUGCCAGCCGCCGCCGUAACAC
rnacentral:rRNA from 1 species